rnacentral:rRNA from 1 species
UAUCUGCCUUUCGGUGAGGAAUACCGGCGAGAAAUCGCCGACAAUACCGCAUACGAUGGCAACAUCAAAGCUUCGCAAGAGGCGCCGGAAGAUGAUCCUGCGGCUGAUUAGCUGGUUGGUGAGGUUAUAGCUCACCAAGGCGACGAUCAGUAGCUGGUCUGAGAGGACGAUCAGCCACACUGGGAUUGAGAACGGCCCAG